AUGAGUUGGUGGGCGGAGGCAUAAUUGCCAGGAAACUCCUCUCUCCGUUUUGUGCGCAGCGUCGUGAGACGCCAGCGGGAAACCGCUGUCAGGCAGCACAGAAACGAUACCCUCAUAUGUCAAAUGAUGAUGAUCCCUCUGGGUGAAGAGACAUAUGAAAGGGUUGAAACGGCUGCCUGAUGCGCGGAGAAAGGCUAAAUAGGGCCCAAUGAUUAGAGGGCCGGGUGAGCCGAUUAGAAGAAUUCCGCCUGAACAAAAAGAGGGUUACCACCAACUCAU
rnacentral:RNase_P_RNA from 1 species